rnacentral:rRNA from 1 species
UACGUAGGGUGCGAGCGUUAAUCGGAAUUACUGGGCGUAAAGCGUGCGCAGGCGGUUUUGUAAGUCAGAUGUGAAAUCCCCGGGCUUAACCUGGGAACUGCGUUUGAAACUACAAGGCUAGAGUGUGGCAGAGGGGGGUGGAAUUCCACGUGUAGCAGUGAGAUGCGUAGAGAUGUGGAGGAACACCGAUGGCGAAGGCAGCCCCCUGGGUUAACACUGACGCUCAGGCACGAAAGCGUGGGGAGCAAACAGG